GGCUAGGCUUAGUGGUGCACAUCUGUAGUCUCAGCUACUUGGGAGGCUGAGGUGGGAGGAUUGCUUAAACCCAGGGAGGCUGAGGCUUCAGUGAGCUAUGAUGACACCACUGUACUCCAGCCUGGGUGACAGAGCGAUACCCUAUCUCAAAACAAAAACAAAGGCAAAACAACAUUCAAAAUAGUAGCAAUAGCUACUAUGUGCCAAGCCCAGACACCUCUUUGAGUCCUUGCUGUCACCCUAUCAGGUAAGUGU
rnacentral:lncRNA from 10 species